rnacentral:rRNA from 1 species
UUGGGGAAUAUUGGACAAUGGGCGAAAGCCUGAUCCAGCCAUGCCGCGUGUGUGAAGAAGGUCUUCGGAUUGUAAAGCACUUUAAGUUGGGAGGAAGGGCAGUAAGUUAAUACCUUGCUGUUUUGACGUUACCGACAGAAUAAGCACCGGCUAACUUCGUGCCAGCAGCCGCGGUAAUACGAAGGGUGCAAGCGUUAAUCGGAAUUACUGGGCGUAAAGCGCGCGUAGGUGGUUUUGUAAGUUGGAGGUGAAAUCCCCGGGCUCAACCUGGGAACUGCCUCCAAAACUGCAUGACUAGAGUACGGUAGAGGGUAGUGGAAUUUCCUGUGUAGCGGUGAAAUGCGUAGAUAUAGGAAGGAACACCAGUGGCGAAGGCGACUACCUGGACUGAUACUGACACUGAGGUGCGAAAGCGUGGGGAGCAAACAGGAUUAGAUACCCGUGUAGUCC